GACUCUCGAAAAUGGAUAUCUCGGCUCUUGUCACGAUGAAGAACGUAGCGAAAUGCGAUACUUAGUGUGAAUUGCAGAAUCCCGUGAAUCAUCGAGUUUUUGAAUGCAAUUUGUGCCUGAGGCCUCGAUCGAGGGCAUGUCUGUCUGGGCGUCG
rfam:Picea glauca, whole genome shotgun sequence.